CCGUUUCUCCUUCUCUCUCUCCCUUGCGACGCGCGCGCCCGCGCCCUCACACAUACACACGCGGAGCGAGAGGGAAAAGCUGGAUCGAAGAAAAGGGGAGGCUACGUUGGCGAUGAGGUCAUGGACAGCGCCUUGAAAUACUGCCGGUGGCUGCCCUGCCUUUACCGGCUGGCCCAAAAAAAAAAAAAGCGAGGAGGGAGCGGGGGCGUGGAAACGGAAAUUAAGAAUCCCACCCAUCCUACCCCCCCCGUAAAAUAAACGCCAGAGGGCCGUAUACGGUCCCGUAUAGCGACGUUUCUUCUCAACGAAUUGCAGAAGAUCAAAAUAAAAGAAUGGAUCACUCAAGUCUCCUGUUAGCACAGUGGUCAUCCAUGGAAGCAUCAAAUAAAUACAGUAUCUGUUCUUUUGAAGCAACAGGCAGGAAUCACAGGUAGCAAGUGAUACUUGGAUAUAUUUUUUUUAUAUUGGAAAAAUGCAAGAUCUGUCUUUUACACUGUCUCUGGAAAACAUCAGAAUAUAUGAUUUUUAAAAAAUGGGAACUAGCACCUUGGAAGAUGGAGGAAUAGCAAGAUUCUAUUGGGCUGGCUACCACAUUUUCUCUGACAGCCUUUAUUUUCAGAUCCUUAGAAAAGAUUCUUUUUUUCUCUAUCCUGUUCUCUGUGGCAAAGCUGAUGAGAACACAAAGAAGAAACAUUUUAAUGGCUGUUCCUGCCAAAAGAUAGAAACCUGGCUCCAUAUUUGAGGGCUUUCUGCCAGCAAGCAAGGACAUUUUAUGUCCAGACAAGUAGAGAAAUGUAAAAUAAAAAUAAAAAUAGGAUCAACCAUUAGAUGAUGCAAGCUUGUUGACUGCUUUAUCCUCAAAAGUUAUUGAUACAUUGAAAUGGAAAUUUUUAAUACAUUUGCUUUAAUGUAGAAAAAAUUCUUAUAAAUAAAUAGACGGGUAUUGC